GGGGGCAUAACUCAGUGGUAAAAGCGCGUGCUUGGCGUGCACAAGGUCCUGGGUUCAAUCCCCAGUGCCUCCA
rnacentral:tRNA from 1 species